rnacentral:rRNA from 1 species
UAAUAUAGAAGAGCGAGUAGGCGCUUGAUGACGUAGGUGGCAGUCUUGAAUCGGAACGACCGGGCGUAAAGCUUGCGUAGGCGUGACUGUAGUGUUGCGGUUAAAUCCCCGGGCGUAAGCGAGGAAUGGCAGUGGAUACUGGAGAGCUAGUGUGUGAUAGAGGAUGGUGGAAUUCCCGGUGUAGCGGUGAAAUGCGUAGAGAUCGGGAGGAACAGCAGUGGCGAAGGCGGCCAUCUGGAUCAACACUGACGCUGAGGCACGAAAGCGUGGGGAGCAAACAGGAUUAGAUACCCUUGUAGUC